GGGUUAGUAUCUUAAUUGGUAAAGAGUUAUCUUGUCAGGAUAAUUGAUGCCGGAUCGAGACCGGUUUAACCCG
rfam:TNVERIFIED: Aspergillus terreus strain NIH2624 mitochondrial sequence.